rnacentral:lncRNA from 1 species
UGUCUGAAGACAGCUACAGUGUACUUACGUAUAAUAAAUAAAUAAAUAAAUCUUUUUUUUAAAAAAAGGAUAUUUUUGUUGGGCUAGAGAGAGAGCUCAGUGGUAAAGAACACUAUUCGCUCUUCCAGAAGAUUGCCAGCCCCACACGGCAGCUCUCACUGACUGGCCUUAACUCCAGUUGCAAGAGAUCCAACCCUGUGUUCUGGUCUCCACGGCACUGCACAUACAUGCAGGCAAAAAAUAUCCAUACACAUAAAAAUAAAGGUUAAAAGAAAAAAAAAAUAAAGACUAUCUUUCUUGGCUGGUUGGUUACUCUUGCCUGCAAUUCCUAGCACUUCAGAAGUUGAGGCAAGAUGGUUGCUGCAAGUUCAAGACCAGCCUGACUUAGAGAGUGAAACUAUCUCGAAAUCAAGAAUCCUUAUCUUACUGGGAGAGGUGGUGCACGCCUUUAAUCCCAGCACUUGGCACUUGGGGAUGGAAAGGCACAUCUCUGAGUUCAAGACCAGCCAGAGCUACAUAGUGAGACGCUGUUUAAGAAGCAACAAGAAUACUUUCCUUACUUGACCCCCGCCUUCUCUUUCGCAGUGUCUUUCCACAUAGUCUCUAUUAUUCAUAGUCUAUUUCAUGACGGCUUUAUCUUCCGGCCACGUUUUUCUCGGCCGCCUUCUGUGAGUGAGGAUUCCUUUCCCCUUCCUUGCAUGACUGCCACCGGCUUCACAUUCUCCCUGCCCCGGGAAAACUGAACUUUUAGAGGGAAGCAGCCUUGGUGUUUUCUUUUAUCCUGGGUUUUGAGAACAGCAGCUUAGAGUUAAGAUUCAAAUGUCUUUGAAGAUGGGUACUGAAAAGUUACAUAGGAGCAGCCAUAUUUUAAAGUUUAUUAAAAAUUCAUAUAGGGGGCUGGAGAGAUGGCUUAGUGGGUAAGAGCACUGACUGCUCUUCCAAAGGUACUGAGUUCAAAUCCCAGCCACCACAUGGUGGCUCACAACCAUCCCUAACCAGAUCUGACUCCCUCUUCUGGAGUGUCUGAAGACAGCUACAGUGUACUUACAUAUAAUAAUAAAAUAAAUCUUUUUAAAAAAUUCAUAUAGCUUUUUGAAUAUCCAAGUUUUAAUGGGGAGAUGAAGGGAAGGGUUGUUUUUGUUAAAAUCAGAGAGCCAUGUCAGCUCAUGCUGUUUCACUAAACAAGACUCUUUUCUUUGCAGCCUACAAGACUGUCUCUGGGGUGAAUGGUCCACUAGUGAUCCUAGAUCAUGUGAAGGUAACGGCACAUCCAUUAUGAUCUGACUCUUGCACUUCAGGUUUCGCUAGUACUGUUUAAGUUUGUCUUAUGAAUUUGUAACCCUUCUUUAGUCUGACUGUAAAUAUUAUUUGUAGGAAAGAAAGACCUAAAGUCAAAACACUGGAUUCUAGUACAGGAUUAAAUGUGGGUUCCUUUUUAUAGCCUCUAAGUACCUUGUCUUCAAAGUUGGGGGGAAGAUCUUACUUAAUAGGUUUAUAGGAGGAAGCAGCAAUAAUAGAUGUGUUUUAUAACAGAGAUGUGGCAUCUUAUGUCCUUUGUGUUAUAGACUUUUUUUAAAGUAAUGUUCUUCCUGUCUAUUAAAUGUUAAACUCUUGGGUAACUAAGUGUACUUUAUCUUUGAGAGCCUGACAUGGACGGGCAAGUAAUGAAUAUACAAGAAAGGAUUGUCUCAAUACUGCCUUACAGCCCUACAUAGAAGUUUGUCCAAGUUGUAAGGAUCAUUAAUUAGUUAACAUGUUCUUCUAUCUGUAUUUAUUAUAAGCUUAUUGUUAAUUUUAGAAAAAGAGAUAUAGAGUGUAGUUUCUAAUUGGUUACUCUGGACUAAGCUUCCUACCUGGUUUUUAUAAUCAAAAUAUCA